GCAUUAUUGAUACAGUGGUAGAAUUCUCACCUCUUAUGCUGGAGAUCCAGGUUCAAUUCCUGGCCAGUGCA
rnacentral:tRNA from 1 species